GUCUUGACAUAGAAAAGUCCACUUCUACAUCUUUGUUUUCAAUAAUGUUAGAAGCUCCCGAACUGUUUGGCCUGUUAUUGAUAAAUCAAUUUUGGAUUCUUCUGUUGUAUCACGGUCUUCAAAUCGGAAUCCCAGGUCUGAUUUAUGAUACUGCAAUAUCAAACUGUUCUCGCUCACUUUUUUUUUAUCAAUUUCAUACGAAUUACCAUUUUUUCCCUCCUUUUCUUUUUUCUUGGACUUCAGAUUUUCUGUUUCUGCGACAGAUUCCUUUAUUUUGGCAGUAACUUUUCUUUCCCUUUUUGUA
rnacentral:lncRNA from 1 species